UACGAAGGGGGCUAGCGUUGUUCGGAAUUACUGGGCGUAAAGCGCACGUAGGCGGAUCGAUCAGUCAGGGGUGAAAUCCCAGAGCUCAACUCUGGAACUGCCUUUGAUACUGUCGAUCUAGAGUAUGGAAGAGGUGAGUGGAAUUCCGAGUGUAGAGGUGAAAUUCGUAGAUAUUCGGAGGAACACCAGUGGCGAAGGCGGCAUCCUGGACCAAUAUUGACGCUGAGGAGCGAAAGCUAGGGGAGCAAACGGG
rnacentral:rRNA from 1 species